rnacentral:sRNA from 1 species
CAACUUUCCAUUCUCUCUCUAAAAGUUCAGCUCUUCUUUUUUCUGCCUUUUCUCUACCAUUCCCUCACAUUCUCUCGUUGCAUGUUGGUCUAGGUGGUGCUCAAGUGAUCGCGGCGCAAAGAGCUUCGCAACCAUCCGAUUAGAUUCUCGUUCUACCGCGGGGUUUGGUUGAGUUCUCUUUGAGUUAGGCGCUGUUGAAUCAAGUUGUGAGCUUAGCUGUGAAACCCUAAGAUGGAUGGGGUGUCUCUGGAGCAAGCCUUGAAGGAAGAUGAUGCUGCUGCUUAAUCUUCUUAGGAUUCUCUUAGUAUUUCUUGUAUUUCGAAAUACUUUAGUAUGUUUAAGUUUUAAUUUUUUUGACUUAUUUUAAGAUGACUGUAAUCCCAUUUAAUCUCGAUUGCUUUCCUAUAUUAUGAAUGA